rnacentral:rRNA from 1 species
CCUACGGGUGGCUGCAGUGGGGAAUAUUGCACAAUGGGUGAAACCCUGAUGCAGCAACGCCGCGUGAGCGAUGAAGGCCUUCGGGUCGUAAAGCCCUGUCCUAAGGGAAGAAUACUGACGGUACCUUAGGAGGAAGCCCCGGCUAACUACGUGCCAGCAGCCGCGGUAAUACGUAGGGGGCUAGCGUUAUCCGGAAUUACUGGGCGUAAAGGGUGCGUAGGCGGCCCUUCAAGUCAGAGGUGAAAGGCUACGUCUCAACCGUAGUAAGCCUUUGAAACUGUAGGGCUUGAGUGCAGGAGAGGAGAGUGGAAUUCCCAGUGUCGCGGUGAAAUGCGUCGACAUUGGGAGGAACACCGGUUGAGAAGGCGCGUCUCUGGAGUGUAGCUGACGGUGAGGCACGAAAGCGUGGGGAGCGAGCAGGAUUAGAUACCCGUGUAGUC